rnacentral:rRNA from 1 species
UGUUGGCGGGGUAACGGCCCACCAAGGCAACGAUCAGUAGGGGUUCUGAGAGGAAGGUCCCCCACAUUGGAACUGAGACACGGUCCAAACUCCUACGGGAGGCAGCAGUGAGGAAUAUUGGUCAAUGGGCGAGAGCCUGAACCAGCCAAGUAGCGUGCAGGAAGACGGCCCUAUGGGUUGUAAACUGCUUUUAUAAGGGAAUAAAGUUAGUCUCGUGAGACUUUUUGCAUGUACCUUAUGAAUAAGGACCGGCUAAUUCCGUGCCAGCAGCCGCGGUAAUACGGAAGGUCCGGGCGUUAUCCGGAUUUAUUGGGUUUAAAGGGAGCGUAGGCCGGAGAUUAAGCGUGUUGUGAAAUGUAGACGCUCAACGUCUGCACUGCAGCGCGAACUGGUUUCCUUGAGUACGCACAAAGUGGGCGGAAUUCGUGGUGUAGCGGUGAAAUGCUUAGAUAUCACGAAGAACUCCGAUUGCGAAGGCAGCUCACUGGAGCGCAACUGACGCUGAAGCUCGAAAGUGCGGGUAUCGAACAGGAUUAGAUACCCUGGUAGUCCGCACGGUAAACGAUGGAUGCCCGCUGUUGGUCUGAACAGGUCAGCGGCCAAGCGAAAGCAUUAAGCAUCCCACCUGGGGAGUACGCCGGCAACGGUGAAACUCAAAGGAAUUGACGGGGGCCCGCACAAGCGGAGGAACAUGUGGUUUAAUUCGAUGAUACGCGAGGAACCUUACCCGGGCUUGAAUUGCAGAGGAAGGAUUUGGAGACAAUGACGCCCUUCGGGGUCUCUGUGAAGGUGCUGCAUGGUUGUCGUCAGCUCGUGCCGUGAGGUGUCGGCUUAAGUGCCAUAACGAGCGCAACCCCUCUCCUUAGUUGCCAUCAGGUUAAGCUGGGCACUCUGGGGACACUGCCACCGUAAGGUGUGAGGAAGGUGGGGAUGACGUCAAAUCAGCACGGCCCUUACGUCCGGGGCUACACACGUGUUACAAUGGCAGGUACAGAGAGACGGUUGUACGUAAGUACGAUCAAAUCCUUAAAGCCUGUCUCAGUUAGGACUGGGGUCUGCAACCCGACCCCACGAAGCUGGAUUCGCUAGUAAUCGCGCAUCAGCCAUGGCGCGGUGAAUACGUUCCCGGGCCUUGUACACACCGCCCGUCAAGCCAUGAAAGCCGGGGGCGCCUAAAGUCCGUGACCGUAAGGAGCGGCCUAGGGCGAAACUGGUAAUUGGGGCUAAGUCGUAACAAGGUA